GAUCCUGGCUCAGGAUGAACGCUAGCGGCAGGCUUAACACAUGCAAGUCGAGGGGCAGCAUAAUGGAUAGCAAUAUCUAUGGUGGCGACCGGCGCACGGGUGCGUAACGCGUAUGCAACCUACCUUUAACAGGGGGAUAACACUGAGAAAUUGGUACUAAUACCCCAUAAUAUCAUAGAAGGCAUUUACUUUUAGUUGGUUAAGUAAACUUCGAGUUGGUUAGAGAGUGGGCAUGGUCGUUUAGUUAA
rnacentral:rRNA from 1 species